rnacentral:misc_RNA from 2 species
UGCGCGUCGGGAACUCGACGGCGACAAGGCAUUGGGAAGACGACCUGGCCCGCUUUCUCUCUCGCGGUUGACGCGUGUCCCGGUUUGGCCAAACGAUUCCAUCCUGGACCUCAGCUCAGGCGUGACUACCCGCUGAAUUUAAGCAUAUCAAUAA